rnacentral:pre_miRNA from 1 species
AUGUUACUUCCUCCGUCCCAAAAUUCUUGUCUUAAAUUUGUCUAGAUACGGGUGUAUCUAAUACUAAAACGUGACUUGAUACAUCCGUAUUUAGACAAAUCUAAGACAAGAAUUUUGGGACGGAGGGAGUAGUUU